AUAGUUAUAAAUGAGCAAUAAACAGUGGUUUCCUAAACCGUAGAUCGAGGUUCGAUUCCUCGUGGGGGCGCCA
rnacentral:tRNA from 1 species